AAUUCGGAUCAAACCGCUCGCUUCGACGCCUCUUUUUCAACUAAAAUCUGGGGGAAUCGAGAAGUUGGAAACUAGGUAGGCACAGUACGUAUGUUCAGGGGCUGAUAAGAGCGCUUCCAGUGGGUUGAUUGCAAUAUUUUCUACACAGACGAAAAUCAACUAGAUGGCAACUAGAUUUCUUCUAUAUGAACAGAAUUUAUAAAAGGUUUAGAUAUAGAUGGUAUAGUUCAAACCCUUAAAAGUUAAACAAACAAUUUAUGCCUGUGCUAGCUUUUUUUUUCAGUGCAACCGCUGCUGUUUGUUGUUUUCAGCUGGACGAUUGGAAAAGUUGCUAAUAAAUAACAAAAACACGACGAUAGCCUUUCGGGACCCCUGCAAAAUCAACGAUCGCUGGGGGUAAAUGGAGCAGUAACUCAAAUUGCAUUCGCUUAUCAGGAUCACUUUGUAAAUCAAAUAAACAUCCGAAAGAUCUGGAAUUUUUCCUCAAAAAGUA